rnacentral:rRNA from 1 species
GACGAACGCUGGCGGCGUGCUUAACACAUGCAAGUCGAACGGAAAGGCCCUGCUUUUGUGGGGUGCUCGAGUGGCGAACGGGUGAGUAACACGUGAGUAACCUGCCCUUGACUUUGGGAUAACUUCAGGAAACUGGGGCUAAUACCGGAUAGGAGCUCCUGCUGCAUGGUGGGGGUUGGAAAGUUUCGGCGGUUGGGGAUGGACUCGCGGCUUAUCAGCUUGUUGGUGGGGUAGUGGCUUACCAAGGCUUUGACGGGUAGCCGGCCUGAGAGGGUGACCGGCCACAUUGGGACUGGGAUCCGGCCCAGACUCCUACGGGGGGCAGCAGUGGGGAAUAUUGCACAAUGGGCGGAGGCCUGAUGCAGCAACGCCGCGUGCGGGAUGACGGCCUUCGGGUUGUAAACCGCUUUCGCUUGUGACGAACGUGAGUGACGGUAAUGGGUAAAGAAGCACCGGCUAACUACGUG